rnacentral:rRNA from 1 species
UACGUAGGGGGCUAGCGUUGUCCGGAAUCAUUGGGCGUAAAGCGCGUGUAGGCGGUCCGGUAAGUCCGCUGUGAAAGUCGGGGGCUCAACCCUCGAAUGCCGGUGGAUACUGUCGGGCUUGAGUACGGAAGAGGCGAGUGGAAUUCCUGGCGUAGCGGUGAAAUGCGCAGAUAUCAGGAGGAACACCAAUUGCGAAGGCAGCUCGCUGGGACGUUACUGACGCUGAGACGCGAAAGCGCGGGGAGCAAACAGG